UACGGGGGGGGCAAGCGUUGUUCGGAAUUACUGGGCGUAAAGGGCUCGUAGGCGGCCAACUAAGUCGGAUGUGAAAUCCCCAGGCUUAACCUGGGAACUGCAUCCGAUACUGGAUGGCUUGAAUUCGGGAGAGGGAUGCAGAAUUCCAGGUGUAGCGGUGAAAUGCGUAGAUAUCUGGAGGAAUACCGGUGGCGAAGGCGGCA
rnacentral:rRNA from 1 species